GACGAACGCUGGCGGCGUGCCUAAUACAUGCAAGUUGAGCGCUGAAGGAUGGUACUUGUACCAACUGGGUGAGCAGCGAACGGGUGAGUAACGCGUGGGGAAUCUGCCUUUGAGCGGGGGACAACAUUUGGAAACGAAUGAUAAUACCGCAUAAAAACUUUAAACACAAGUUUUAAGUUUGAAAGAUGCAAUUGCAUCACUCAAAGAUGAUCCCGCGUUGUAUUAGCUAGUUGGUGAGGUAAAGGCUCACCAAGGCGAUGAUACAUAGCCGACCUGAGAGGGUGAUCGGCCACAUUGGGACUGAGACACGGCCCAAACUCCUUCGGGAGGCAGCCGUAGGGGAUCUUCGGACAUGGAGGAAAGUCUGACCGAGCAACGCCGCGGGAGGGAAGAAGGGUUUCGGAUCGGAAAACUCCGUUGGUAGAGAAGAACGUUGGUGAGAGUGGAAAGCUGAUGAAGUGACGGUAACUACCCAGAAAGCGACGGCUAACUACGUG
rnacentral:rRNA from 1 species